rnacentral:lncRNA from 1 species
GUGCGUGGCAUUGUCGUCCUGGAGUUGUUAGGGUGCCACUGCGAACUUGCCAUCCUCCUUCCUUGGCGUCCAGAGAUGCAUUGCAGCUUAAGAUGUCUGCUCUUGCAGUUCUUCGGAAGAGUAUGGAAAUUUAAGGUCUGGAUGGUCUACAGGAUUGUUUGGUGGUUGAAUGAAUGCUUAAACACCACCAUUGAAGGAUAACAUCAGAGGGAGAGAGUUUUUCACUUUCCCUUUACAGAACAACAUUAUUUGUUCAUGGUUGUGCACAAGGAUGCAUUAAUUAUUUCUGGUGGGCUGGUAUCAGGGGUUUUGUUACAUUUACGAGUACUUCAUAUAAUGUGCCCUACUUGACAAUGGGAAACAAUGUUGUAUCGUAGUCAAAUCUCUUUAAGUUGCCGGUUGAUUGUUCUCUAGGAAGUAUAGUAUUGUUCACGUGUCUUGGUUGCUUUCGGGUGAAGGUGUUGAAUUUACCCAUGCUGGCAUUUUUUACAUGCUAUAUGUAGCCAAUUUUCUGUAACGAUGCUAAGUGAACAGCGUGAAAUUUUGACUACCAAUUCAGCCCAGAACGCUUUGACGGUACAUUCCAAAACGAUUAGAAUGUUCGUACGGUCUAUGGUUGCUGAACUUGUAUUACUGGCACAUAUGUCUGGGCCAAAAAAAAACUGUGGUGUACACCAGUGAGAAUUAUAUGUGCAAGCACAUAAUCAUAUAUGUUUCACCACAAUAAACACUAAUUUUUCAUCACCAAAACACCAGCCAAUCAUGGGUCAACGGGAUUUAAUUGACCCAUGCGGGAAUUUGAGAAAAUCACAACAAAUGGAACUGCAUCAACAUGUGCAAUGUUACUGAUUAACAAUAAACAUGCAUUCUUUUUGUUUGUUUAGGUUAGUUAGCUGGAGCCUUCAUUUUGGAAGGGGAGAUCCCGAGUUCGAAUCCCACAUAGGAAGCAUUUAAUUUUUUUCCGGACGGUUCGGCUCCUCUACAGUUGAGUAGUUAUUGUACACAUGAUGUAGCUUCUAAAUCUAAUGGUCCUCCUUUUUCUUCUUUUAUAAUUAAGGUAUUAGUUGAAAAAACACUACAACCGCGUGUAAUUGUAAUGGAAGGUGCGUAUAUACUUAUUUUCUCCCAUGCCUAUAUGAGGGGUUCUGCUCCUCAGCAGUUGAGUAGUUACUUUACAGAUGAUGUAGCUUCUAAAAUCUGUCGUACACUCAAAUUCAAUGGUUCUCCUUUCCUCUACAAUUCUCUUAUCGAUGUAAAAAGUAAGUAUAAAAAACUUUACAAUUAUGGUCUCUUUCUUAUCAUUGAUCAGAAGGGGCAUGAUUUCACUCGGAGGCUCUUCUAGCCAUCCACUAGCACUAGAUCUCCUAGCCUCGUGAGAGACAAUAUUUGCUUCCCUGAUCUCCUAGCCUUGUGAGAUGCAAUAUUUGCUUCCGUGUUACAAUGUUCAAAACCCAGCAAGGGAAAUUCACCUGCAAUAUGAAGGCAGUCAUCAAAAUUGCUACAUAUUAACUCACUGCCACAUAGGCAAAUUUACGGAGUUGGACCCUAUGUUAUUCUUGAAGUUACUCACACUAUGGCCAGUCUGAGUGGAUUCUUGGUCGAAUGUUGUGUUAAAGUUGAGCUGUACAAAACCCAUUGGUGGUCAAGUCCAUCCACCUCUCUUCAAGGUAGCCUUAGGAGAUGAAGGAAAAGUGUAGUUCACAGUUAGAGCUCCCUCAAAAAAAUUAAAAUAUUUCACUGUCAGAGCUUGGAUCCCCAAUGUAAUUUGGUUCACGUCUUGAGUUUUCUCCCCAGUGGAUUAGUUUGAGUUGUUCCACCGUAAGUACCACACAUCAAUGACAAUCAUCUCGUGAACAUUCAAAAGGUCUAGGAUAGGCAACUCCUGGUCAGGUAGCUGUAGCAGAAACUCAGUGCCACCUCGCCUGCUAGGGGAGUAACUUAUGCUUCCCACCUCAUCCAAACCCAAGACUCUCCAUACAUCCUUACCAUUAUGGCAUUGGAAAAGCAAGUGCCUAGUAUCGUUUUUGGGCCUUGCAAACAUGUAGGGCAUUGGGGCGAAACUUGCAUGUGCCUGCUAGCUAGAGUGAUACGGGGCUAACCCGGUGUAGGCCGAUCUUUCACGAUUGGAGUGGAUUCCCUCGAAGAACACGAAGAACACAGGGAGGAACGGAGAGAAAUCACAAGGGGAAACACUCAAGAACAAGUCCAAUCACACAUCCACUAGACAAUCAAACACACAAGAUCCACAAGGUACAUGAACAACAAAGGGAAAGAUACAAGGUAAAGUUCAUCUCCAUGAGGAGGUCUUGAGGGGGUCUUCCCGUGAGGGGUCUUGAAUCCUCUUGGGGGAUCUUGUUCGAAGAGGCCGUGGACUCCAAUGGAGAAGUAACCAAGUGGAUGAGCAAAGCUCUAUCUCUCAAAUGAGCUAUCGCAUUGCUGACCCUAGAAAGGAUGAGGGGGAGGUCUAUUUAUAGUCUAAGCCACGAAGGGGUAAGUGGGAGAAAGAUACAAGGCCAAAGGGACGGCGGCGCACAGGCAGUGUCAGACAUCCGGUCGCUCGCGGGGGUCCGGACGUUAGGAGGGCGUCAGACUUCCGACGUUUCUUCUCUGGAUAGGUGGCACCGGACUUCCGCUUGGCGUCGGUCGUCCGGUCGCUGGGACUUGUUGGACGUCUGAUGUUCGUCAUUCGUCCGGCCGCUGGAGCACCCAUCGCCUGGAGUUCUUCUGGCCAUCUUGGUUGCGUCAGGUACCGGAAGUCCGGUGUGGGUCGGACGUCCUGUGGCUGUAGCUUGCAGCAGCCCCGUUUCUUCCGUCUUCUUUUCCACGCUUCCUCGCGGAUGGUGUAGGUGAUCCUUGGCGCUUGCACUCCUCCUCGUCGCCUGUGAAGCUUCGACAAUAUCUAUGCAUGCACACGAGUGGAGUGUCAAGUAGUAUACCAUCCUCGAAGGGGUCAAGUGAGCACGUGUAAAGGAGAUGAUUCACCUUUAUGUAUGUGAAGUAGAGGUCGCACGUGUCACUUGCCAAACGGACUCUUGACAUGGUGAUGUCCAUGGGAUGCUCCGCAUCAUCUCCCCCCGGGAAAGAUCCGACCUCGGAUCAAAAACCAAAUCACCAUGGGAAAGAGAUGGCUUCGCCGUGUAGAAGUGGACGUUCACCAAGUACUCGUCAUCUUGAAGCUCGAAAUGGGCACUCUCCAAUGUCUCACCGUCUUGUGAUUCCUUGAAAAGGAGCAAGGACAACAAACACUUGGAAAAAGAAGUGCAGUUAGCGUUAGUGCAAAACCAAGUAUUCAAGAGGUGAUUCACCCAACAAGUGUCGUCAUCAUGCAAAGCAUAUGGUUUGACAAAGGUUUGUGACAUGGCAUGUAAGCACAUAAAUUGAGCACAAGCAAGGAUAUCAUGGGGACAAGCAUGCAAAUGUGAGGUAGUGAUGCAAAUAUGUGUGAUAAGAGAAUAAGCAUCUACCUCAAGGUCAUAGCAAUCAUGCACAAAGCGAUCGACAAACGGUCUAUGGUAGGCAUAGGAAUCAUUCACAACACCAAAUAUAAUGAUAUGUCUUAACACAUGGGGCAAGUGCAAGACAAUCCAAGCAUAAUGUGCAUAGGGUGUAGUGAAGAUAUCGUGGCACUCAACACAAUGGAAAGAGCAAUUGUUCAACAUGUGUGAGGCAAUCAAGUCAAUCAUGUGACAAGCAAUGGGACAUGGCAUAUGUGAAGGAAUGACAUUGUUGCAACCAAAUAUAUGAUAGGGGCAAGUAAUCCACAAGUCGGAUGCAACACACAAGGCAUAUAUGUCAUGAGGCAUGGAAAUGUGAAAAUGACAAGUCGAAGCAAGAUCUCUAACAUGUGUGCAAUCAAGUGGUCCAAGAUGGCCAAUAAGGCUCAUGGUGCAAGCAACACAAGUAGUAGGAUCCACGAUAUACAUGCUCAAGAAAGAUGUCACCUUGAAGGCGUGUCCUUGUGCAUCCUUCACAAUGCCAAAGUGGUAGGAAAUGUGGUGUAGAGGCGAGUCAUGGUCGAAUGUAUGAGGCUCGCUCUCAAGAGCUAGAAUGGUCAACUCACGUGAAGUGGAAGUCGACACGAAGUCCAAGUAUCCUACACAUGCACACAACAAAACAAAUAACAUAUGGACAUGGUAGAUAAACACAUCAUCCAUCGUGAUGGUUCUCUUCUCUUGCAUAUAAUCGUUAGAAGCACAAGUGCAUGGACAUAUGUUGCAACAAUGUCUAUAUUCAUGGCACUAGGUAUAUGGUGCAAAGAGGUAAGACAAGCAUGCUUCACAAGAAAUAUGUCAAAAUCUCCAAUCGUAUGUGAGAAUGCCAUGGGGGCAAUCUCAUUAUCAAGGCUAAAUGCAUUGUUGCACUCAAUACAUGGCAAAUCAUCUAGCAUGAGAGCAUCAAUAUAUGGAUAUAUAUGAGAAGAAGCAAUAUGAAUCAUGUGCAAAGCAUGGUAGUGGUUGUCAUCAACCGCAUGAAAUGAGCAAGAAUGAAUCAUGGGUGAUGCAACAUGAGCAAGCAUAGAGAUCAAGUCAUGCAAACUAAUGGAGCGAAGAUGCAACACACUAGGGGAAAUCAUGGCAAUCAUGUCAUGUGAGCAAAUAAUAGGCAUAGACAAUGCACAUGACAUAUUGAUAAUCCCCAAGUGCAGGGAAUCAUCAUAGCAAUUUCCAAAGGUGGAAGUGAUAAGCAUGGAGUGUCGAACGCACAAGGAGCUAAAGGUAAGAUCAAUAUUCUCUCAAGUCCUAUCUGCCACUGAUACGACUCUACGUACACCGAACGUUUGCUUCCAACUAGAAACGAGAAAUAAAACUAUGUUGUGGGUAUGAAGAGGAUAACUUUGCAUGAUAUCAGAGAGCUAAAAUAUAAAAGUAGGUGCCGUUAUCAUAAAGUUAGAAUAUAUUAUUAAAUAUUAUAAAUAGCGAGUGUGGAAUAAUGAUGGGUCAGUGUGCGGAAUUAUCCUAGGCAAUUGUUAAUAAAACUGGUAAUCACUAUUGCAAUUUCAUAUGAGGGAGAGCCAUAAGCUAACAUACUUUCUCUUCUUGGAUCAUAUGCACUUAUGAUUGGAAUUCUAGAAAGCAUCCGUGACUACUAAAGACCAUUAAUGUAAAACCCAACAAUAGCAUUAAAGUAUUAAGUCCUCUUUAUUCCCAUACGCCAUGACCCACUUAUUCGUAUUUGUGUUUUAGUCACUCACGCAACACAGACAAUAAGCAAACCAUGAACAUAUUGCAAACCCUACAGCAGGGAUCCCUCACGCUUGCGCGACACAGAGGGCACCAUAGAACAGCACCAAUAAUAAAACAUGCAACUCAAACCAAUCUAGAUCAUCAAUCAACCCAAAGACAAAGAAAAUCUACUCAAAACAUCAUAGGAUGGCAACACAUCAUUGGAUCAUAAUAUGUGGCAUAAAGCACCAUGUUCAAGUAGGUGAUUACAGCGGGGUGCGGGAGAGUGGACCGCGUAAAAGAGAUGAGGAUGGUGAUGUUGAUGAAGACGAUCACCGUGGCAAUGAUUCCCCUCUCGAUGGCACUCCGACGCCACUGAGAGAGAGGAGGAGAGGUUCUCUCCCUUGUGCUUCCUCCUCCAUGGUCUCCCCCCUGGAUGGGGAGAGGUUCUCCCUCUGGUCCUUGGCCUUCAUGGUGAUGAUGGCCCCUCCGAGAUCCUCCCCCAUGGCCUCUGGUGAUGAUGACCCCCUCCGACAGGGUGCCGGAGAGGGCCUAGAUUGAUCUCUUGUGGUUCUGGAGGCUUGCGGUGGAAGAACUUUCGAUCUCCCCUUUGUUCUGGGGUUUUUAGGAUUUAUAGGAGGGGUUGGCUUUGAGUUCACAUCAAGGGGGCCCACAGGGAGUCCAUGGGGUAGGAGCACCCUCCUGGGGGGUAGGGUGCGCCCUCUACCCUUUUGGUGGCCUCGGGACUCCCCUCCGAUAGCUUUACGUUCCAGUAUUUUUUAAUAUUUUCCAAGAAUAUUCUCCGUUGAUUUUCAGCGCAUUCCGAGAACUUUUAUUUCUGCACAAAAACAACACCACGGUAGUUUUGCUGAAAACAGUGUCAGUCCGGGUUAGUUCUAAUCAAAUCAUACCAAAAUCAUGUAAAACUAUUAUAAACAUGUCAUGAAUACUUCAUAAAUUAUAGAUACGUUGGAGAAGUAUCACAUAUCGCAAGCACGAACACAAAGCAAGAUGAAAGUAUCAUCAUAGGAAUGGUGCACAAAGCAAACAUGGCAAUAACAAGCAAUAUCUCCACCAAGCUUGCAAAGACACAUACAAGUACUAGAAUCAAUCAUCAUGUGUAAUGCAAAGCAUGGGUCACUAAUGCAUGGCAAGGGCAUAGGAAUAAGCAUUGGGCAUAGUAUAUGUAAUGGACAAUAACCCAUAACCAUGUGAGGGCCAUGUAGAAGAAAUGCGCGAAGUUGUUGCGCAAUGGGAACAUUGUGAAAUACAAUCCACGUGAUCCCAGGUCAUCGUUGCUCUCUAGAGCUCGUUUUGUCAACUCAUGGGAUUGUGAGGUUGACAAGUAUUCAUGGGUACCUACACAAAAGAGACACAAACCAAAGAAAUUGUGCGCGUGGUAAAUGUACACAUCAUCCAUCAUGAUAUGUAUGUGCACAUGUGAGUUAGCACAAGAUAAGCAUCGGUCAAAGAAAUUUGAUGCAUGGUAUAAGGACAUGUCAUCCAUCAUGAAAGAAUAGUUAUUAUGUAUAACACGAUGGGGACACAAAUUUAGCAUGCAAGUAUAUGGCACAUCAAUAGCAUGUUUAUUCACAGGGAGCAUAUGGUGCACAUAAUUAUUGGGAUCAUGCAAUGGAUGGGAUGGAUCAAAAUCUCCUAAAAUGUAUGAGGAAACUAUGGGGGUCUCCUCAUGAUCAAUAUUGAAAACAUCAUAUGGAGAAAAUGGACAGCAUCCAAAGCAAUGCAUAUUCGAAGCUAGGUGGUCAUGGCAUGGCAUGUGAGAUAAGUGAUGCAAAGAGAGAAUAUAAAUAUCAUCACAAGAAAAACAAACGCCAAUAACCAUGGGCUUGUCAUCUAUGCCAUAAGUGCAAAUUGGGUUAAUUUUAAUGGCAUAUGCAUAGUCACUACGAUGAGAUUGCAAAUGUGACAUAUGAUUGAUCUCAUUCAUAGCAUAUGACAAGUCAAGAGGAUUGUCAAACAUGAUGUGACCUACAGAAUGAUCAUAAGAAAUCCUAUGUAACAUGGCAUCACAACUAAUAGACUCCACAUGAUAAUCAUCAUACUCAUCAUAAAUGGGCAAAUCAUCGCAUGGGGAAAUCAUACUAGUAUGAAGCAUGGUACUAGGUGGAUCAACAUGAUGCAAGCAAUCACUUUCAAGAAUGUCCACUAGUGGGACUAGGGCAUCACCUUCACGUAUGUUACCUUUUUCAUUCCACUAGAGUGGUGUACGUGAGGUGGGAAAGACCAAAUGGUGGUCAUCAUCAUCAAGUUGAUGGAACCAUGUGGGGGGUACAUCAUAUUCCACCAUGGCCAUCGUCUUGUCCAAAGGGAGGACGAAGUCGUCGAGUAUCGGCGCGUCAUCAUAUAUGGGAGCUAGCACCAAAUGAGAAGAUACAAUAGAGGAAGAUGUUAAGUCGUUAGAGUUCAAAGUGUCCUCACAUGACCUAUCAACUAUCACACUCUCUAUGUGGUGGAUGAUGACCCACAAGUAUAGGGGAUCUAUCGUAGUCCUUUCGAUAGGUAAGAGUGUCGAACCCAACGAGGAGCAGAAGGAAAUGACAAGCGGUUUACAGUAAGGUAUUCUCUGCAAGCACUGAAAUUGUAGGUAACAGGUAGUUUUGUGAUAAGAUAAUUUGUAACGGGUAACAAGCAAUGAAAGUAAAUAAGGUGCAGCAAGGUGGCUGAUGUCUACUACACAACUUCUUCUUGUAGACGUUGUUGAGCCUGCAAGUGCACAUGUUUGUAGGACAGUAGAAAAUUUCCCUCAAGUGGAUGACCUAAGGUUUAUCAAUCCAUAGGAGGCGUAGGAUGAAGAUGAUCUCUCUCAAACAACCCUACAACCAAAUAACAAAAAGUCUCUUGUGUCCCCAACACACCCAAUACAAUGGUAAAUUGUAUAGGUGCACUAGUUCGGCGAAGAGAUGGUGAUACAAGUGCAAAAUAGAUAGUAGAUAUAGGUUUUUGUAAUCUGAAAAUAUAAAAACAGCAAGGUAACUAAUGAUAAAAGUGAGCGUAAACGGUAUUGCAAUGAUAGGAAACAAGGCCUAGGGUUCAUACUUUCACUAGUGCAAGUUCUCUCAACAAUAAUAACAUAGAUAGAUAAUAUGACAAGCCCUCAACAUGCAACAAAGAGUCACUCCAAAGCCACUAAUAGCGGAGAACAAACGUAGAGAUUAUGGUAGGGUACGAAACCACCUCAAAGUUAUUCUUUCAGAUCGAUCUAUAAAAGAGUUCGUACUAGAAUAACACCUUAAGACACAAAUCAACCAAAACCCUAAUGUCACCUAGAUACUCCAUUGUCACCUCAAGUAUCUGCGGGCAUGAUUAUACGAUAUGCAUCACACAAUCUCAGAUUCAUCCAACCAACACAAAGUACUUCAAAGAGUGCCCCAAAGUUUCUACCGGAGAGUCAAGAACGUGUGCCAACCCCUAUGCAUAGGUUCCCAAUGUCACGAAACCCGCAAGUUGAUCACCAAAACAUACAUCAAGUGGCACAUGAUAUCCCAUUAUCACCACAGAUAAUCACGACAAGACAUACAUCAAGUGUUCUCAUAAAAGACUCAAUCCGAUAAGAUAACUUCAAAGGGGAAACUCAAUUCAUCACAAGAGAGUAGAGGGGGAGAAACAUCAUAAGAUCCAACUACAAUAGCAAAGCUCGGGAUACAUCAAGAUCGUGUCAUAGAGGGAACACGAGAGAGAGAGAGAGAUCAAACACAUAGCUACUGGUACAUACCCUCAGCCCUGAGGGUGAACUACUCCCUCCUCGUCAUGGAUAGCGCCGGGAUGAUGGAGAUGGCCACCGAUGAUGGGAUCCCCCUCCGGCAGGGCGCCGGAACGGGCUCCCGAGAGGUUUUUGGUGGCUACAGAGGCUUGCGGCGGCGGAACUCCCGAUCUAUGUUUUGUUCUGGAGGUUUUAGGGUACAAGAGUACAUAUGGGUGCAGGGGGUACGUCGGAGGAGCUACGGGGGCCCCACGAGGCAGGGGGCGCGCCCGCCACCCUCGUGGGCAGCCCGUAUCUCCCCUGACGUGCACUCCAAGUUCCCUGGGUUGCUUUCCUUCCAAAAAUAACUUCUCUAGUUGAUUUCGUUCCGUUUUGACUCCGUUUGAUAUUCCUUUUCCUCGAAACACUGAAAUAGGCAUAAAACAACAAAUCUGGGCCGGGCCUCUGGUUAAUAGGUUAGUCCCAAAAAUAAUAUAAAAGUGGAUAAUAAAGCCCAAUAUUGCCUAAAACAGUAGAUAAAGUAGCAUGGAGCAAUCAACAAUUAUAGAUACGUUGGAGACGUAUCAAGCAUCCCCAAGCUUAAUUCCUGCUCGUCCUCGAGUAGGCAAAUGAUAAAAAAAAGAAUUUUUGAUGCGGAGUGAUACUUUGGCAUAAUUUCAAUGCAAUUCUUCUUACUUGUGAUAUGAAUAUUCAGAUCUGAAAGAUUCAAGACAAAAGUUCAUAUUGACAUAAAAAUAAUAAUACUUCAAGCAUACUAAUCAAAGCAAUCAUGUCUUCUCAAAAUAGCAUGGCAAAAGAAAGUUCAUCCCUACAAAAUCAUAUAGUUAGGCUAUGCUUCAUUUUCGUCACACAAAGAUGUUCCCAACUUCUAUACCCCCGAUGACAAGCCAAGCAAUUGUUUCAUACUUAAAUAAUCUCAAAGUUUUUCAACCUUCACGCAAUACAUGAGCGUGAGCCAUGGAUAUAGCACUAUGGGUGGAAUAGAAUAUGAUGAUGGGGAUUGUGUGGAGAAGACAAGAAGGAGAAAGUCUCACAUUGACGAGGCUAAUCAACGGGCUAUGGAGAUGCCCAUCAAUUGAUGUCAACAUGAGGAGUAGGGAUUGCCAUGCAACGGAUGCACUAGAGCUAUGAAUGCUCAACAAAAUAAAACUAGUGGGUGUGCAUCCAACUCGCUUGCUCAUGAAGACCUAGGGCAUUUGAGGAAGCCCAUCGUAGGAAUAUACAAGCCAAGUUCUACAAUGAAAAGUUCCCACUAGUGUAAAAAGACAACUUAUGAGACUCACUACAUGAAGAACAAGGUGCUACUUUGAUGCACAAUAUAUGAGACUCAGUACAUGAAGAACAAGGUGCUACUUUGAAGCACAAGUGUGGAAAAAGAGGUAGUAGCAUUGCCCUUUUUAUUUAUUUUCUUUUUUGGGCCUUUUUUUGGCCUUCCUUUUUUUGGGCAAUGCUCUAAUAAUGAUGAUCAUCACACUUCUAUUGAUUACAACAUAAGGAUUACAACUCGAAACUUAGAACAAGAUAUGACUCUAUAUGAAUGCCUCCGGCGGUGUACUGGGAUGGUGCAAUGAAUCAAGAGUGACAUGUAUGAAAAAUAAUGGAUGGUGGCCUUGCCACAAAUACGAUGUCAACUACAUGAUCAUGCAAUGGCAAUAUGACAAAAGUAAUGUAUGUCGUGAUGAUGAUGAUGGAAGUUGCAUGGCAAUAUAUCUCGGAAUGGCUAUGGAAAUGCCAUGAUAGGUAGGUAUGGUGGCUGUUUUUAGGAAGAUAUAAGGAGGUUUAUGUGUGAUAGAGCGUAUCGUAUCACGGGGUUUGGAUGCACCGGUGAAGUUUGCACCAACUCUCUAGGUGAGAAAGGGCAAUGCACGGUACUAAAGAGGCUAGCAAUGGCGGAAAGGUAAAAGUGCGUAUAAUCCAUGGACUCAACAUUAGUCAAAAGAACUCAUAUACUUAUUGAAAAAAUUUAGAAGUCAUAAAAAAUCAAGUACUAUGCGCAUGCUCCUAGGGGGAUAGAUUGGUAGUAAAAGACCAUCGCUCGUCCCCGACCGCCACUCAUAAGGAUGCACAAGCCAGGUACACUUCAUGUUUCAAAUUUGUUACACAACUUUAACCAUACGUACAUGCUACGGGACUUGCAAACUUCAACACAAGCAUCCUCAAAUUCACAAUUACUCAAAUAGCACGACUUUGAUAUUAUUACCUCCAUAUCUCAAAACAAUUAUCAAGCAUCAAACUUAUCUUAGUAUUCAACUCACUCAAAAGAAAGUUUCACAUAUCUUGAAUACCAAGUAUAUUAAUAUUAAGCAAAUCACCAUGCUAUUAAUGAAUCUCAAAAUAAUAUAAGUGAAGCAUGAGAGUUCAUCUAUUUCUUAAAAAUAAAACUACCACCGUGCUCUAAAAGAUAUAAGUGAAGAACUAGAGCAAACAACAAACUACUCCGAAAGAUAUAAGUGAAGAUCAAUGAGUAGUCGAAUAAUUAUGCAACUAUGCGAAGGCUCUCUCUCAUUUAAUAAUUUCAGAUCUUGAUACUUUAUUCAAACAGCAAGCAAAGCUAAAGAAAACUACAUUGCAAGGAUAGCACAACUCAUGUGAAGAAGCAAAAACUUAGGCUCAACCGAUACUAACCGACAGUUGUUGAAGAAGAAAGGUGGGAUGCCAACCGGGGCAUCCCCAAGCUUAGAUGCUUGAGACUUCUUUAAAUAUUAUCUUGGGGUGCCUUGGGCAUCCCCAAGCUUGAGCUUUUGUGUCUCCUUAAUUCAUCUCAUAUCAUGGUUUCUCUUUUUAUCAAAAGCUUCAUUCACAACAAACUCAACAAGAACUUGUGAGAUAGGUUAGUAUAAACCAAUGCAAAACCUUACCAUUUUCUACUGUAACAAAUCACUAACAUUAUUAUUCAACAUUGCAUACUAAAUGCCUCUGCAUAUUUAAUUCUCCUAUCACCAAAUAGAAUCAUUAAACAAGCAAACAUAUGCAAACAAUGCAACCAUAACAGCAAUCUGUCAAAACAGUACAGUCUGUAAAGAAUGCAGGAGUAUCAAUACUUACCUAACUCCAAAAAUUAUGAACCAAAAUUCCCACUGUAAUAAAUUUAUCAGAGCUCAUUAUUCAAAAAGUUUCAACAUUAUAUCAUGCUCUGACUUUUCUAGGGAAUUUUUGCAACAGCGGUAAACUUUCUGUCUUCAAACAGCAACAUGCAUACUAGCAAAAUAAGCAUGGCAAAGGCUAUCCUUGACUUAUUUAUUGAAACUAAAGAUGCAAACCAUUAUUAUAAAUAACAGCAAGAAAAUACUAACAAAAUAAAAUGACGCUCCAAGCAAAACACAUAUCAUGUGGUGAAUAAAAAUAUAGCUCCAAGUAAAGUUACCGAUGGUACGAAGACGAAAGAGGGGAUGCCUUCCGGGGCAUCCCCAAGCUUAGGCUCUUUCCACUCCUUAUUCCAUAGUCCAUUGAAUCUUUACCCAAAACUUGAAAACUUCACAACACAAAACUCAAUAGAAAACUCGUAAGCUCCGUUAGUAUAAGAAAAUAAAACCACCACUUAGAUACUAUAAUGAACUCAUUAUAAAUUCAUAUUGGUGUAAUAUCUACUGUAAUCCAACUUAUCUAUGGCUCAUAUCCUCCGAUACUACUCAUAGAUUCAUCAAAAUAAGCAAACAACACAUAGAAAACAGAAUCUGUCAAAAACAAAACAGUCUAUAGUAAUCUGUAUCAAACGUAUACUUCUGGAACUCCAAAAAUCCUAUCAAAUUAGGAAGUCCUAAGCAAUACGUGUACCAAUACAGAGCAAAAAGAAUCAUAUUAUAAUCACGUUUCUGUGAAUUAACAAAACUAAUUUACUGGGUGAAAAAAUUUCUGAUUUUCAGCAGGAUCAACACAACUAUCACCGUAAGCUAUCCUAAAGGUCUUACUUGGCACUUUAUUGAAACAAAAGCUAUAAAACAUGAUUACUACAGUAGCAUAAUCAUGUGGACACACAAAAACAGUAAGUAUAAAUAUUGGGUUGUCUCCCAACAAGCGCUUUUCUUUAAUGCCUUUUAGCUAGGCAUAAUGAUGACAAUGAUGCUCACAUAAAAGAUAAGAAUUGAAACAUAACAGGAGCAUCAUGAAGAAUAUGACUAACACAUUUAAGUCUAACCCACUUCCUAUGAAUAGGGAUUUUGUGAGCAAACAACUUAUGGGAACAAUAAUCAACUUGCAUAGGAAGGUAAAACAAGCAUAACUUCAAGAUUUUAGGCACAUAGAGAGGAAACUUGACAUUAUUGCAACUCCUACAAGCAUAUGUUCCUCCCUCAUAAUAAUUUUCGGUAGCAUCAUGAAUGAAUUCAACAAUAUAACCAGCACGUAAAGCAUUCUUUUCAUGAUCUACAAGCAUAGAAAAUUUACUACUCUCCACAUAAGCAAAAUUCUUCUCAUGAAUAGUAGUGGGAGCAAACUCAACAAAAUAACUAUCAUGUGAUUGAAAAUUAAGAUCAAGAUGACAAGUUUCAUGGUUAUCAUUAUUCUUUAAAGCAUACGUGUCAUCACAAUAAUCAUCAUAGAUAGGAGGUAUGCUUUCAUCAUAGUAAAUUUGCUCAUCAAAGCUUGGGGGACAAAAAAUAUCAUCUUCAUCAAACAUAGCUUCCCCAAGCUUGUGGCUUUGCAUAUCAUUAGCAUCAUGGAUAUUCAAGCAAUUCAUACUAACAACAUUGCAAUCAUGCUCAUCAUUCACAUAUUUUAUGCCAAGCAUUCUAUGUAAUUCUUCUUCUAGUACUUGAGCACAAUUUUCCUUCCCAUCAUUUCCACGAAAGACAUUAAAAAGAUGAAGCAUAUGAGGCAUCCUUAAUUCCAUUUUUUGUAGUUUUCUUUUAUAAACUAAACUAGUGAUAAAACAAGAAACAAAAAGAUUCUAUUGCAAGAUCUAAAGAUAUACCUUCAAGCGCUAACCUCCCCGGCAACGGCGCCAGAAAAGAGCUUGAUGUCUACUACACAACCUUCUUCUUGUAGACGUUGUUGGGCUUGCAAGUGCACAGGUUUGUAGGACAGUAGCAAAUUUCCCUCAAGUGGAUGACCUAAGGUUUAUCAAUCUGUAGGAGGCGUAGGAUAAAGAUGGUCUCUCUCAAACAACCCUGCAACCAAAUAACAAAAAGUCUCUUGUGUCCCCAACACACCCAAUACAAUGGUAAAUUGUAUAGGUGCACUAGUUCGGCGAAGAGAUGGUGAUACAAGUGCAAAAUAGAUAGUAGAUAUAGGUUUUUGUAAUCUGAAAAUAUAAAAACAGCAAGGUAACUAAUGAUAAAAGUGAGCGUAAACGGUAUUGAAAUGAUAGGAAACAAGGCCUAGGGUUCAUACUUUCACUAGUGCAAGUUCUCUCAACAAUAAUAACAUAGAUAGAUAAUAUGACAAGCCCUCAACAUGCAACAAAGAGUCACUCCAAAGCCACUAAUAGCGGAGAACAAACGUAGAGAUUAUGGUAGGGUACGAAACCACCUCAAAGUUAUUCUUUCGGAUCGAUCUAUAAAAGAGUCCGUACUAGAAUAACACCUUAAGACACAAAUCAACCAAAACCCUAAUGUCACCUAGACACUCCAUUGUCACCUCAAGUAUCCGUGGACAUGAUUAUACGAUAUGCAUCACACAAUCUCAGAUUCAUCCAACCAACACAAAGUACUUCAAAGAGUGCCCCAAAGUUUCUAUCGGAGAGUCAAGAACAUGUGCCAACCCCUAUGCAUAGGUUCCCAAUGUCACGAAACCCGCAAGUUGAUCACCAAAACAUACAUCAAGUGGCACAUGAUAUCCCAUUGUCACCACAGAUAAUCACGGCAAGACAUACAUCAAGUGUUCUCAUAAAAGACUCAAUCCGAUAAGAUAACUUCAAAGGGGAAACUCAAUUCAUCACAAGAGAGUAGUGGGGGAGAAACAUCAUAAGAUCCAACUACGAUAGCAAAGCUCGGGAUUCACAAAGAUCGUGCCAUAGAGGGAACACGAGAGAGAGAUCAAACACAUAGCUACUGGUACAUACCCUCAGCCCCGAGGAUGAACUACUCCCUCCUUGUCAUGGAUAGCUCCAGGAUGAUGAAGAUGGCCACCUGUGAUGGGAUCCCCCUCCGGCAGGGCGCCGGAACGGGCUCCCGAGAGGUUUUUGGUGGCUACAGAGGCUUGCGGCGGCGGAACUCCCGAUCUAUCUUCUGUUCUGGAAGUUUUAGGGUACAAGAGUAUAUAUGGGUGCAGGGGUUAUGUCGGAGGAGCUACGGGGGCCCCACGAGGUAGGGGGGCACGCCCGGGGGGUGGGGGGGGGGUGGGGGGGGCUGGUGGGGUGGGCGCGCCCCCACCCUCAUGGGCAGCCCAUAUCUCCCCUGACGCGCACUCCAAGUUCCCUGGGUUCCUUUCCUUCCAAAAAUAACUUCUCCAGUUGAUUUCGUUCCGUUUUGACUCCGUCUGAUAUUCCUUUUCCUCAAAACACUAAAAUAGGCAUAAAACAGCAAAUCUGGGCUGGCCUCCGGUUAAUAGGUUAGUCCCAAAAAUAAUAUAAAAGUGGAUAAUAAAGCCCAAUAUUGCCUAAAACAGUAGAUAAAGUAGCAUGGAGCAAUCAAAAAUUAUAGAUACAUUAGAGACGUAUCAGUGGCCCAAUCCUUUUUGUAGCAAAGGACAAGCAUGGACAAUUUCUUAUAAUGAGGAAAGCGCUCCCAAGGACACAUGGUAAUUAUCGUCAAGCUAGUUUUCAUCACGCUCAUAUGAUUCACGUUCGUUACUUUGAUAAUUUGAUAUGUGGGUGGACCGGUUCUUGGGUACUGCCCUUUCUUGGACAAGCAUCCCACUUAUGAUUAACCCCUAUUGCAAGCAUUCGCAACUACAAAAGAAGUAUUAAGGUAAACCUAACCAUAGCAUGAAACUAGUGGAUCCAAAUCAGCCCCUUACGAAGCAACGCAUAAACUAGGGUUUAAGCUUCUGUCACUCUAGCAACCCAUCAUCUACUUAUUACUUUCCAAUGCCUUCCUCUAGGUCCAAAUAAUGGUGAAGUGUCAUGUAGUCAACGUUCACAUAACACCACUAGAGGAUAGACAACAUACAUCUCAUCAAAAUAUCGAACGAAUACCAAAUUCACAUGACUACUAAUAGCAAGACUUCACCCAUGUCCUCAGGAACAAACAUAACUACUCACAAAGCAUAUUCAUGUUCAUGAUCAGAGGAGUAUUAAUAUGCAUUAAGGAUCUGAACAUAUGAUAUUCCACCAUGUAAACCAAAUAGCAUCAACUACAAGGAGAAAUCAACACUACUAGCAACCCACAAGUACCAAUUUGUUGUUUUGAUACAAGAUUGGAUACAAGAGAUAAACUAGGGUUUUGAGAGGAGAUGGUGCUGGUGAAGAUGUUGAUGGAGAUUGACACCCUCCAGAUGAGAGGAUCGUUGGUGAUGACGAUGGUGAUGAUUUCCCCCUCCCGGAGGGAAGUUUCCCCGGUAGAAUAGCUCCGCCGGAGCCCUAGAUUGGUUCUGCCAAGGUUCCGCCUCGUGGCGGCGGAGUUUCGUCCCGUAAGCUUGAUUAUGAUUUUUUUCAGGGUAAAAGCCUUCAUAUAGCAGAAGAUGGACACCGGAGGGACACUAGGGGGCCCACGAGACAGGGGGCGCGCCCAGUAGGGGGGGCGCCCCCCCACCCUCGUGGCCAGGGUGUGGGCCCCCUCUGGUACUUUCUUUGCUCAAUAGUUCUUAUUAAAUCCAGAAAUGACUUUCGUGGAGUUUCAGGACUUUUGGUGCUGUGCAUAAUAGGUUUCCAAUAUUUGCUCCUUUUCCAGCCCAGAAUUCUAGCUGUCAGAUUCUCCCUCUUCAUGAUAAACCUUGUAAAAUAAGAGAAAAUAGCCAUAAGUAUUGUGACAUAACGUGUAAUAACAGCCCAUAAUGCAAUAAAUAUUGAUAUAAAAGCAUGAUGCAAAAUGGACGUAUCAACUCCCCCAAGAUUAGACCUCCCUUGUCCUCAAGCGGAAGCCGAUAUCGAAAAAUAUGUCCACAUGUUUAGAGAUAGAGGUGUCAAUAAAAAUAAAAUACGGACAUGAGGGCAUCGUGAUCAUUCUUAUAACAACAACAUAUAUAGAUUUUGUCAUAUGAUUUCUUAUGCUCAAGUAACAAUCUAUUCACAAUGUCAAGUAUGGACCAUAAACUUCAUUGAGAACUAACAACCUAUAAUCUCAGUCAUUGAAGCAAUUGCAAUUUAUCAUAACAUCGAAAAGAGUCAAGAAUAGAGCUUUUCAGCAAGUCCACAUACUCAACUAUCAUAUAGUAUUCUACAAUUGCUAACACUCACGUAAUACUUAUGGUUAUGGAGUUUUAAUCGGACACUGAGAAAGAUAGGGGCUUAUAAUUUCGCCUCCCAACAUAUUCACCUUUGGGUGAUGUCAACAAUAAUACUUCAUGCUAACUUACAUCCAAUUGGAUAUAUAUAUCAGGAUCUUUCCAACACGAGGUGCUUGCCAAAUGAUAAAAUGAAAAAGGGAAAGGUGAAGAUCACCUUGACUCUUGCAUAAAGUAAAAGACAUAAAGUAAAAGAUAGGCCCUUCGCAGAGGGAAUCAGAGGUUGUCAUGUGCUUUUAGGGUUGGAUGCACAAAAUCUUAAUGCAAAAGAACGUCACUUUAUAUUGCCACUUGUGAUAUGAACCUUUAUUAUGCAGUCCGUCGCUUUUAUUACUUCCAUCUCACAUGAUCGUAUAAAGCUUAUUUUCUCCGCACUAAUAAGUCAUACAUAUUUAGAGAGCAAUUUUUAUUGCUUGCAACAUGAUAACUUACUUGAAGGAUCUUACUCAAACCAUAGGUUGGUAUGGUGGACUCUCAUGGCAAAACUGGGUUCAAGGAUAUUUGGAAGCACCAGUAGUAUCUCUACUUGGUGCAAGGAAUUUGGCUAGCAUGAGGGGGAAAGGCAAGCUCAACAUGUUGGACGAUCCAUGACAAUAUACUUUAACUGAGAUGUGAGAAAACAUAACCCAUUAUGUUGUCUUCCUUGUCCAACAUCAACUCUUUAGCAUGUCAUACUUAAUGAGUGCUCACAAUCAUAAAAUAUGUCCAAGAUAGUAUAUUUAUAUGUGAAAACCUCUCUUUCUUCAUUACUUCCUAUUAAUUGCAACGAUGACCAAAACCAUGUUUGUCAACUCUCAACAACUUUUAAGCCUCAUACUCUUUAUAUGUGAAGUCAUUACUAUCCAUAAGAUCAAUAUGAACUCUUUAUUCUUUUUAUUCUUUCUAUUUUCUCAAGAUCAUAGCAAGAUAGCAAAGCCCUUGACUCAACACUAAUCUUUAUUAUAUAGCUCACGGACUCGAUUACAUAAAUGGAUCACAAAGCAAAACUCAAAACUACUUCAUACCAAAAAUUUAUUCUACUAGAUCUAGAUAUUAAUAAAAGGAUCGAACUAAGUAAAACGAUAAAGAUAAGAAAAUGAUGGUGAUACGAUACCGGGGCACCUCCCCCAAGCUUGGCAGUUGCCAAGGGGAGUGCCCAUACCCAUGUGAUUAUGUCCUCGGAGGUGGUGAAGGAGUUGUUGAUGAUGUAGGCUUGUCGUUCGUCUUCCAAGGCAUAGCCUCACCAUCAUAGAAGGAUGAUCGAGUCUCCGGGAUCCUCAAAUUUGUAGCCAAACUCAUCCUCUUGAAUCUAUAUUCAUACUCACAGUUUUGGUUUUGUAGGCCAUAGAUCUGGGCUUGGAGGUGCUCGAUUUUCUCAUGAAGCUUGAAGAUGGUCUCCCCAAUGUUCUUAGCGUCCAGCUUGUGGUUGUUGGUGAAUUCCGUGAUCAUCAUCUAGUUGGCGCUUGAAAACUUGUUGCUCCAUAGCUUCGAGUUUUGUCUCCAUGCUUCUGGUACGCCUUGGUCCGUCCACAUCACGGAUGUGCAACACCCCCUCACGCAUCUCAAUGGUUUGAGGGUGUUGCAGCACCUCCGCGAGAUAGGGGUUGAUAACCCUCUCGAAAAACUUGUCCUUGGGAGCGCUUGGAGAUGUCAUGGUGCUCUAGAUCUGUUAGAAAAACAACUCAAAACAAAAACAGAAGAUUUUUGCGUGAUACGGUGGUCAAAACCUGCAGGAGAUUAUAUAAGGAACUUUUAACGACCAAAAGAAGUAACGUGCAAGAAAACGGAGUCCGGGAGGCACACGAGGUGCCCACGAUGCAGGGGGGCACACCCAGUAAGGGCGGGCGCGCCCUCCACCCUCGUGGAGGCCUCGUGUCCUUCCCGGAUUACUUCUUGCUUUCCUAAAUUCUUAAAUAUUCCAAAAUGGAGAGAAAUUGCUAUUAGAAUUGUUUUGGAGUCGGUUUACUUACCGUACCACAUACCUAUUCCUUUUCGGAGUCUGAAACGUUCUGGAAAGUGUCUCUUAUGUAUUCCUCUGGGGUCACUGUUUCAAUAAUAUUAGUUUCAACAUUUAUAGGAUUACCUAAGAUAUAAUGUUUGAUUCUUUGAUCGUUCACCAACCCUCGGACUUGUGCCUUCGAAGUUUUUGAUUUUUAUGGCACCGGAAUGAUAGACCUCCUCGAUAACAUAAGGACCUUCCCACUUAGAGAGAAGUUUUCCUGCAAAAAAUCUUAAACGAGAGUUGAAUAGCAACACAUAAUCACAUACGUCAAACUCACGCUUUUGUAUCCUUUUGUCAUGCCAUCUUUUAUCUUUUUCUUUGAACAGCUUGGCAUUCUCAUAGGCUUGGGUACUCCAUUCAUCAAGUGAGCUAAUGUCAAAUAACCUCUUCUCACUGGCAAGUUUGAAGUCAUAGUUGAGCUCUUUAAUAGCCCAAUAUGCUUUAUGUUCAAGUUCGAGAGGUAAGUGACAUGCUUUUCCAUAAACCAUUUUAUAUGGAGACAUACCCAUAGGAUUUUUAUAUGCAGUUCUAUAAGCCCAUAAUGCAUCAUCAAGUUUCUUGGACCAAUUCUUUCUAGAUCUAUUAAUAGUCUUUUUCAAAAUUAAUUGGAGCUCUCUAUUGCUCAAUUCUACUGGACCACUAGACCGCGGGUGAUAAGGAGAUGCAAUUCUAUGAUUAACAUCAUACUUAGCAAGCAUUUUACGAAAAGCACCAUGAAUAAAAUGUGAACCACCAUCAGUCAUUAAGUAUCUAGGGACUCCAAACCUCAGAAAAAUAACUUCUUUAAGCAUAUUAAUAGAGGUGUUAUGAUCAACACUACUAGUUGGAAUAGCUUCUACCCACUUAGUAACGUAAUCAACAACAACUAAAAUAUGUGUAUAUCCAUUAGAGGCAGGAAAAGGUCCCAUAUAAUCAAAGCCCCGAACAUCAAAUGGUUCAAUAACAAGAGAAUAAUUCAUAGGCAUUUCUUGACGUCUACUAAUAUUACCUAUUCUUUGACAUUCAUCACAAGACAAGACAAACUUACGGCAUCUUUGAAGAGAGUAGGCCAAUAAAAACCGGAUUGCAAUACCUUAUGUGCAGUUCUAUCUCCAGUGUGGUGUCCUCCAUAUGGUUCGGAGUGACACUUGCGUAGGAUCUGUUCCUGUUCAUGCUCAGGUACACAACGUCUAAUAACACCAUCUACUCCUUCUUUAUAAAGAUGUGGGUCAUCCCAGAAGUAAUGUCUUAAAUCAUAAAAGAACUUUUUCUUUUGCUGGUAUGUGAAAUUAGGUGGUAUAAAUUUAGAAACAAUGUAAUUAGCAUAAUUAGCAUACCAUGGAGCAGUACGAGAAGCAUUACUGACCGCAAACUGUUCAUCAGGAAAGCUAUCAUCAAUAGGUAGUGGGUCAUCAAGAACAUUCUCUAACCUAGACAAGUUGUUUGCAACGGGGUUCUCAGCUCCCUUUCUAUCAAUAAUAUGCAAAUCAAAUUCUUGGAGCAAGAGAACCCAUCUAAUAAGUCUAGGUUUAGCAUCUUUCUUUUCCAUAAGAUAUUUAAUAGUAGCACGAUCAGUGUGAAUAGUACCUUUAGAAUCAACAAUAUAAGGUCUGAACUUAUCACAAGCAAAUACAACUGCUAAGAAUUCUUUUUAGUAGUAGCAUAAUUUCUCUGGGCAGUAUCAAGAGUUUUACUAGCAUACUGGAUAACAUUUACUUUCUUAUGAACUCUUUGCCCUAGAACAGCACCUACAGCAUAAUCACUAGCAUCACACAUAAUUUCAAAGGGUAAAUUCCAAUCAGGUGGCUGAACAAUAGGUGAAGUGAUCAAAGCUUUCUUAAGUAUUUCAAAUGCUUCUACACAAUCAUCAUCAAAGACAAAAGGAAUAUCUUUUUGCAAUAAAUUAGUCAGAGGCCUAGAGAUUUUAGAAAGGUCCUUAAUGAACCUCCUAUAAAAACCGGCAUGACCAAGGAAAGUUCUUAUACCUUUAAUGUCCUUGGGACAUGGCAUCUUUUCAAUAGCAUCAACUUUAGCUUUAUCAACUUCAAUACCUCUUUCAGAAAUUUUAUGCCCCAAGACAAUGCCUUCAUUAACCAUAAAGUGGCAUUUUUCCCAAUCCAAGACGAGACUAGUGUCUUCACAUCUCUACAAAAUUCGAUCAAGGUUGCUCAAGCAAUCAUCAAAAGAGGAUCCAUAAACGGAGAAGUCAUCCAUGAAUACCUCACAAAUAUUUUCACAAAAGUCAGAGAAUAUAGCCAUCAUACAUCUUUGAAAGGUAGCAGGUGCAUUACAUAAACAAAAAAGGCAUAUGUCUAUAAGCAAAAGUACCGAAAGGGCAAGUAAAAGUAGUUUUUGGUUGAUCCUCCGCUGACACAGGUAUUUGAGAGAAACCAGAAUAACCAUCUAGAAAGCAGAAAUGUGUAUGUUUGGAUAGUCUUUCUAGCAUUUGAUCAAUAAAAGGUAAAGGGUAAUGAUCUUUCUUAGUAGCUUUAUUUAAUUUACGGAAAUCAAUUACCAUCCUAUAACCUGUAAUAAUUCUUUGCGGAAUCAAUUCAUCUUUAUCAUUAGGAACAACAGUAAAACCUCCCUUCUUAGGGACGCAAUGGACAUGACUUACCCAAUCACUAUCAGCAACGGGAUAAAUUAUACCUGCCUCAAGGAGCUUUAGUAUCUCCUUUCUUACCACUUCUUUCAUCUUAGGAUUUAACCAUCGUUGAUGAUCUCUAACUGGUUUGGAGCCUUCGUGCAAUUUAAUUUUAUGUUGGCAUAGAGUGGGACUAAUGCCCUUAAGAUCAUCCAGAGUAUAUCCAAUAGCAGCACAGUGCUUCUUCAGAGUUUUCAAUAAUCUUUCUUCUUCUUGCUCUGAAAGGUUAGCACUAAUAAUAACAUGAUAUAUCUUCUUUUCAUCAAGAUAAGCAUAUUUAAGAUUAUCAAGUAAAGGUUGGAGCUCAAACACGGGAUCACCCUUGGGUGGAGGGGGAUCCCCUAGGAUUUCAACAAGCAAGUUGUGUUUCAGAAUAGGACCCUGUUGAAGGAAUACUUCAUCUAUUUCCCUUCUUUCAUUCAUAAACAUAUCAUUUUCAUGGUCUAGCAAAUAUUGUUCUAACGUAUUAGUAGGAGGCACGACAAUAGAAGCAAGACAAAUUAUUUCAUCUUUACUAGGCAAUUCUUUAACAUGGGGUUGUCUACGGAAUUUAGCAAAAUUAAACUCAUGUUUCAUAUCCCCAAGCCAAUUGUAAUAACAUCCUUUUUGCAAUCAAUCCUAGCAUUGACAGUAUUCAAGAAGGGUCUACCAAAUAUAAUGGGACAAAAGCUAUCUUGUGGGGAACCAAGAACAAGAAAAUCAGCAGGAUAUUUAACUUUCCCACACAAGACUUCAACAUCUCUAAUGAUCCCAACUGGUGAAAUAGUAUCUCUAUUGGCAAGCUUAAUAGUGACAUCAAUAUCUUCUAACUCAGCGGGUGCAAUGUUAGGCAUAAUUUCUUGGUAUAAGGAAAUAGGUAUUGCACUAGCACUAGCACCCAUAUCACAUAAGCCAUGAUAACAAUGAUCUCCUAUUUUAACAAAAAUAACAGGCAUGCCUACAACAGGUCUAUGUAUCUUAGCAUCGGGUUUAGCAAUAUUAGCAGCUUCCUCACAGAAGUAGAUAACAUGCCCAUCUAUAUUAUCGGCCAAGAGAUCUUUAACUAUAGCAAUACUAGGUUCAACUUUAAUUUGCUCAGGAGGUGUAUAUGUUCUAGUAUUACUCUUACAAACCAUAGUUGAAGCUUUAGCAUGAUCCUUUAUCCUAACAAGAAAAGGUGGUUUCUCAACAUAAGUAGUAGGAACAAUAGGAUCACUAUAAGUAAUAGUCUUUUCUUCAAUUGUAAUAGGUGCAACUACUUUUACUUCAGUGGGAGGAUUAUAUUUAAACCACUUCUCCUUAGGGAGAUCAACGUGAGUAGCAAAAGAUUCACAGAAAGAAGCUACUAUCUCAGAGUCAAGUCCAUAUUUAGUGCUAAAUCCACGAAAAGCAUCGAUAUCCAUAAAAGAUUUAACACAAUCAAACUUAGAUGUCAUACCUGACUCCUUACCAUCGUCGGAACCCCAAUCUUCAGAGUUGUGUUUAAUUCUUUCCAAUAAGUCCCACUUGAAUUCAAUAGUCUUCAACAUAUAAGAACCAGCACAGGAAGUAUCGAGCAUGGUGCGAUCAUUGAGAGAAAGCCGAGCAUGAUUUUUUUGAAUGAUCAUAUCUCUUGAGAGCUCAUGAUUGGGGCAUGAAUAUAACAUUGACUUAAGCCUCCCGCAAGCUUGAGCGAUGCUUUCUCCUUCGCGAGGCCAGAAAUUAUAUAUAUAAUUAUGAUCACGAUGAACAAGAUGCAUAGGAUAGAACUUCUGGUGAAAUUCCAAUUUCAAUCAUUUAUAGUUCCAAGACCCCGUAUCAUCACAUAGCCUAUACCAUGUCAAUGUGUCUCCAUUCAAAGAUAAAGGGAAGACCUUCCUCUUAACAACAUCAUCGGGAAUACCUGCAAGAUUAAAUAAUCCACAAACUUCAUCCACAUAGAUACGGUGUAAAUCGGGAUGCAAUGUUCCAUCUCCUGCAAAGGGAUUAGCUAGCAGUUUCUCUAUCAUACCUGAAGGAAUCUCAAAGUAAACAUUUUCAGCAAGUUCAGUAGGUUGAGGAGCAACUCUUUGCUCUACUGGUCGGGGCGAAGAUGCCCCGAACAAGCCCCUCAAAGGAUUAGUUUCCAUAGUAACAAGUGACAGUAAAUUUCAGCACACUAUAUAAAUGUUUCCUUACCAAGUUCCACUCACCAAAGGCGCUUCACUCCCCGGCAACGGCGCCAGAAAAGAGUCUUGAUGACCCACAAGUAUAGGGGAUCUAUCGUAGUCCUCUCGAUAAGUAAGAGUGUCGAACCCAACGAGGAGCAGAAGGACAUGACAAGCGGUUUUCAGUAAGGUAUUCUCUGCAAGCACUAAAAUUGUAGGUAACAAAUAGUUUUGUGAUAAUAUAAUUUGUAACGAGUAACAAGCAAUGAAAGUAAAUAAGGUGCAGAAAGGUGGCCCAAUCCUUUUUGUAGCAAAGGACAAGCCUGUACAAUUUCUUAUAAUGAGGAAAGCGCUCCCGAGGACACAUGGUAAUUAUCGUCAAGCUACUUUUCAUCACACUCAUAUGAUUCGCGUUCAUUACUUUGAUAAUUUGAUAUGUGGGUGGACCGGUGAUUGGGUACUGCCCUUUCUUGGACAAGCAUCCCACUUAUUAUUAACCCCUAUUGCAAGCAUCCGAAACUACAAAAGAAGUAUUAAGGUAAACCUAACCAUAGCAUGAAACUAGUGGAUCCAAAUCAGCCCCUUACGAAGCAACGCAUAAACUAGGGUUUAAGCUUCUGUCACUCUAGCAACCCAUCAUCUACUUAUUACUUCCCAAUGCCUUCCACUAGGCCCAAAUAAUGGUGAAGUGUCAUGUAGUGGACGUUCACAUAACACCACUAGAGGAUAGACAACAUACAUCUCAUCAAAAUAUCGAACGAAUACCAAAUUCACAUGACUACUAAUAGCAAGACUUCAACCAUGUCCUCAAGAACAAACGUAACUACUCACAAAUCAUAUUCAUGUUCUUGAUCAGAGGAGUAUUAAUAGGCAUUAAGGAUCUGAACAUAUGAUCUUCCACCAAGUAAACCAAAUAGCAUCAACUACAAGGAGUAAUCAACACUACUAGCAACCCACAGGUAGCAAUUUGUGGUUUGGAUACAAGAUUGGAUACAAGAGAUGAACUAGGGUUUUGAGAGGAGAUGGUGCUGGUGAAGAUGUUGAUGGAGAUUGACCCCCUCCCGAUGAGAGGAUCGUUGGUGAUGACGAUGGUGAUGAUUUCCCCCUCCCGGAGGGAAGUUUCCCCGGCAGAACAGCUCCGCCAGAGCCCUAGAUUGGUUCCGCCUCGUGGCGGGAGAGUUUCGUCCCGUAAGCUUGAUUAUGAUUUUUUUCAGGGUAAAAGCCUUCAUAUAGCAGAAGAUGGACACCGGAGGGCCACCAGGGGCCCACGAGACAGGGGGGCGCACCCAGUAGGGGGGGGGGCGCCCCCACCCUCAUGGACAGGGUGUGGGCCCCCUCUGGUACUUUCUUUGCUCAACAAUUAUUAUUAAAUCCAAAAAUGACUUUCAUGGAGUUUCAGGAAUUUUGGAGCUGUGCAGAAUAGGUUUCCAAUAUUUUCUCCUUUUCCAGCCCAGAAUUCCAGCUGCCGGCAUUCUCCGAUAAACCUUGUAAAAUAAGAGAAAAUAGCCAUAAGUAUUGUGACAUAACGUGUAAUAACAACCCAUAAUGCAAUAAAUAUUGAUAUAAAAGCAUGAUGCAAAAUGGACGUACCAGUGGCUCACUCACUCCCUCAAAAUAGGUGCACUCAUAGUCACAUAUGGUGGAGUCACUCAUCUCACUCAAGUGGUGGGGGUAGUGGCUCUCCUCACACGGGAAUUGGGGCAACUCAUCAUAUACGGGGCUAGUGGUGAACUCACUCUCACUCUUAAUAUGGUGGAAAAAGUCACUCAAGUCAUCAUACGCUGCUGUGGUCGGAGGGAAAAUCUCGUGCUCAACCAUCUCGUUGUCGUCGCCGUGGAUGAAGGUCGAAGAUGGCACAUCAUCACUCUCCUCCAUGGCCGAAGGGAAAAUCCCAUGCUCGAUCAUCUCGUCAUCAUCGCCGUGGAUGAAGGCCGAAGAUGGCACAUCAUCACUCUCGACUCCUAAGAUGGAAUCAUCAUCCUUGCUUGUCACCGUGUCGCACGCCUCCAAAGCAUGUUCCUUGAGAAGCUUCAUAGUCGUAGUCGUCGCCGCACCGUCUUGAAAAAGAGUCAUGGUAGGCUCGGCACCAUCAAUGCCACAAAGAGGGAUGGUGGUGAAGUCAAACUUGGGAGUGUUGUCUUGGAGCUAGUCGGGCUUGGACAUCAUGGUGGUACUAGCCUCAUGCUCAUCGUCUUGGAGCUUGGUCUUCGAGAAGUGUGCUUGGGGUGGAGAAGCCUUGGCCUUCAUGAGUUCUUGUUCCGCCUUGAGAGCACCAAUGUAGUUGUCGUCAAGGGACUUGUAGUUCUCGAGGAAGAUAGUCUUGGAGAUGUCAUUGUUCAAUCCCAUCGUGAAGUAGAACUUCAUCAAAAUGGGGUCGUCCAUGCCAGCUCGUCGCAAGGCAUUCUUCAUCUCCUUGAGGUACGCAUCGAUGGACUUGGAUCCUUGGGUGGUGUUCUCCAAUUGGCGUAGAAGUUGUUCCGUGUAGGUUGGAGGCACAAACUCUCGCCGCAUAGCGCUCUUCAUCUUGGGCCAACUCAUGUUGUAGCUCUCCGAAGGUGUGUAAAGCCACCAUGUCGAGGCGUAGUCGUGGAAGUUUCUUGUGGCGCACUUCACUUGAUCUUAGGAAGGGACUUGAUGUAGCGUGAGGUAGUCGUCCAUCAAGCGCUCCCACUCAAGAUACUCCUAAGGUUAUAGAGUCCCAUAGAAAGGAAUCUCGUGGUCGGUGUCUGACACGUCUCCGUCGUAUCUAUAAUUUUUGAUUGUUCCAUGCCAAUAUUAUUCAACUUUUAUAUACUUUUGGCAACUUUUUAUAUUAUUUUUGGGACUAACUUAUUGAUCCAGUGCCCAGUGCCAGUUCCUGUCUGUUGCAUGUUUUAUGUUUCACAGAAUAUCCAUAUCAAACGGAGUCCAAACGGGAUAAAAACGGACGGAGCUUAUUUUUGGAAAAUAUGGAAAAUUCCGGAAGGAAAAUCAACGCGAACCAGUGCCCAAGGUGGUCACGAGGCAGGGGGCGCGCUUGCCCCCCCUGGGCGUGCCCCCUACCAUUGUGAGCCCACCAUAAUGCGGUUGACACUCUUCUUUUGCCGCAAGAAAGCUAAUAUUCGGAAAAAAAUCACGGCGAAGGUUUCAGGCCAAUCGGAGUUACGGAUCUCCAUAUAUACACGAAACGGUGAAACAGAGCCAGAAGAGAACGCAGAAACAAAGAGAUAGAUCCAAUCUCGGAGGGGCUCUCGCCCCUCCCAAGCCAUGGGAGCCAAGGACCAGAGGGGAAACCCUUCUCCCAUCUAGGGAGGAGGUCAAGGAAGAAGAAGAAGAAGGGGGCCCCUCCCCCUUGCUUUCGGUGGCGCCGGAGCACUGCCGGGGGCCAUCAUCAUCAUCGCGAUCUUCACCAACACCGCCGUCAUCUUCACCAACAUCUCCAUCACCUUCCCCCAUCUAUAUCCAGCGGUCCACUCUCCCGCAACCCGCUGUACCCUCUACUUGAACAUGGUGCUUUAUGCUUCAUAUUAUUACCGAAUGGUGUGUUGCCAUCCUAUGAUGUCUGAGUAGAUUUUUGUUGUCCUAUCGGUGAUUGAUGAAUUGCUAUGAUUGGUUUGAGUUGCAUGUUUUAUUAUUGGUGCUGUCCUAUUGUGCCCUUCGUGUCGCGCAAGCGUGAGGGAUUCCCGCUGCAGGUUUGCAAUAUGUUUUUGAUUUGCUUAUGGUGGGUGGCGUGAGUGACAGAAGCACACACCCGAGUAAGUAGGUUGUUUGCGUAUGGGAUAAAAGGGGACUUGAUGCUUUAAUGCUAUGGUUGGGUUUUACCUUAAUGAAUCUUUAGUAGUUGCGGAUGCUUGCUAGAGUUCCAAUCAUAAGUGCAUAUGAUCCAAGUAGAGAAAGUAUGUUAGCUUAUGCCUCUCCCUCAAAUAGAAUUGCAAUAGUGAUUACGGGUCUAGUAACAUAGUCGGUUGCUUAGGGACAAUUCCACAUCUCCUACCACCACUUUUCCACACGCGCUAUAUUUACUUUAUUGCAUCUUUAUCUAAAUAGCCCCUACCUUUUAUUUACGUGUUCUUUACUUUCUUGCAAGCUUACCUGAAAACACCUACAAAGUACCUCUAGUUUCAUACUUGUUCUAGGUAAAGCGAACGUCAAGCGUGCGUAGAGUCGUAUCAGUGGCCAAUAGGACUUGAGAGAGUAUUUGUUCUACCUUUAGCUCCUCAUUGGGUUCGACACUCUUACUUAUUGAAAGAGGCUACAACUAUCCCAUAUACUUGUGGGUUAUCAAGACCUUUUUCUAGCGCCGUUGCCGGGGAGCAAUAGCAUGGGGUGAAUAUUCUCGUGUGUGCUUGUUUGCUUUAUCACUAAGUAAUUUUUAUUUGCUGUCCUUAGUUGUUCUCCAUCUUUAAUUAUGGGUAGGAAACGCAAAAUAUCAAAAAAAUUAGUUGUACCUACUGAACCAAUGGUUGAAGAACCACUCAAAAUCUAUCACACUGCUGAAGCUUAUUACUUGGAUCAUCUUUGAUCCCUAUGUGCUCGUGCUGAAACUCCAACUAGCUUAGUUGAGGGCAAAUCUUUAGAUGAGCAUGCUUGUUAUGUGCGACACCGUAUAUCUGAAAAAGGGAAACUAUUAUGGGGUCAAAUUCAACGUUUGCAAUGCUAUGCUUGGAAUUUAUGUGAAAUAUAUGAUGUUACUUGUUGUUCUGAAGACCCUAAGAAACACCUACGCUAUCAAUGCUUGUUUAGUGAUAAUGGAAUCGUAUCUUCGUAUGCUAAGGGUGUUUACAAUUACUAUGAUGUUCAACAAAUUGAAGAAUUUGUUGCUUUUAAGGGUGCUUAUGAAAUUGCUUCUUUGAUUGAAACGUAUGAUGCUACUUUUCACAAAUCUAAUUUUUUUGCCAUACUUGAAUAUUGCUAUGAGAAUUAUGCUUCUAAUGCCUAUGUUAAACAAUUUAUUGAGGAAGUCUCCGCUGUCCAAGAAGAGACUAAUAUUUUGCAGGAAGCUAUGGAAGAAGAAAUUGAUGAAAUUGUGAGCUCAUUGGAUGAAAAAGAUGAUGAGGAGAGCGAAGAACAAAAGGAGGAAGAGCGGAUUGAUCACCCAUGCCCACCUUCUAAUGAGAGUAACUCUUAAACUCAUACAUUGUUUAAUUCCCCUUCGUGCUUACCGAAGGAUGACUGCUAUGAUGAUUGCUAUGAUCCCAUUGAUUCUCUUGAAAUAUCCAUUUUUGAUGAUGCUUGCUAUGCUUGUGGCCAAGAUGCCAAUAUGAAUGAUGCUUAUGGAGAUGAACUUGCGAUAGUUCCUUAUGUUAAACAUGAAAUUGUUGCUAUUGCACCCACACAUGAUAGUCCCUUUUUGAAUUCUCCAAACUACACUUUAUCGGAGAAGUUUGUGCUUAUUAAGGAUUAUAUUGAUGGGUUGCCUUUUACCAUUGCACAUGAUAAUUUUGAUAGAUAUAAUAUGCAUGUGCUUUCUGCUCCUACUUGCAAUUAUUAUGAGAGAGGAACUAUAUCUCCACCUCUCUAUGUUUCCAAUAUGAUAGAAUUGCAAGAAACUGCUUAUACUAUGCAUUGGCCUUUACUAUGUGUGCAUGAAUUGUUCUCUUAUGACAUGCCGAUGCAUAGGAAGAGAGUUAGACUUAGUUGUUGCAUGAUAUAUGUUACUUUGUGCUCACUACUAAAUUACAAAUCAUUGUUAAUUAAAAUUGGCUUUGAUAUACCUUGGGAUCCGGGUGGAUCCAUUACUUGAGCACUAAAUGCCUAGCUUAAUGGAUUUAAAGAAAGCGCUGCCAGGGAGACAACCCGAAAGUUUUAGAGAGUCAUUUAUUUCUGUUGAGUGCUUUCAUAUAGUUUAAAAACAACAAAAAUAAAGAGGGGAACCCAAAACUUCUCAAAAAGAGAAGUGAAAGUGAGAGAGACGAGCAUUGUGAAAGUGGGGGACGUCCUUAAACUUGUUCAUGCCCAUGGGAACUUUGUGAAUCUUAAUUACAGAAACUUUUCAAUAAAAAUAAUUAUCCCCUUGUAAAAUUUCAUUGCAUUAUAAAAAUAAUGUGCCUAGGUUUGCCUUUAGGAUGUUUACAAUGCUUGUUGGUUUGUACGGUGCUGGACAGAAACUUUGGCUGUAGUGCACGAUUUUACAUUUUUAACUGGAACGUCAAAUGGUUCUGAUUCUUUUUGCACUGUAUUCCUAUACAACUUUUUUAUUUUUACUAAUUAUUGUAUAAUUUUUGGGGUAAUAUAAGUAUGGUGGAUGUUCAGAUUACUACAGACUGUUCUGUUUUUGACAGAUUCUGUUUUUGAUGCAUAGUUUGCUUGUUUUGAUGAAACUAUCAAUUUAUAUCAGUGGAUUAAGCCAUGAAAAAGUUAUAUUACAGUAGACACAUUGCAAAAACAAAAUAUGAAUUGGUUUGCAACAGUACUUAGAGUGGUGAUUUGCUUUAUUAUAUUAACGGAUCUUACCGAGUUUUCUGUUGAAGUUUUGUGUGGAUGUAGUGUCUAAUCGAGGAUGUCUUGAUAUGAGGAAAAGGAAGAGAGGCAAGAGCUCAAGCUUGGGGAUGACCGAGGCACCCCAAGUAAAUAUUCAAGGAGACUCAAGUGUCUAAGCUUGGGGAUGCUGGGGAGGCAUCCCCUCUUUCUUCAACAAGUAUCUAUAUGUUUCAGAUUCGUUUCGUUCAUGCCAUUAUGUGCAAGUCUUGGAGCGUCUUUUGCAAUUAGGUUUUUAUUUUUAUUGUAUGCACCAUGCUGGUAUGAGAUAGUCCUUGGUUGAUUUAUAGAAUGCUCAUUGCACUUCACUUAAAUCUUUUGAGUAUGGCUUUAUAGAAUGCUUCAUGUGCUUCACUUAUAUCAUUUGAAGUUUGGAUUGCCUGUUUCUCUUCACAUAGAAAACCGCCAUUUGUAGAAUGCUCUUUUGCUUCACUUAUAUUUGUUAGAGCGUGGGCAUAUCUUUUGUAGAAAGAAUUAAACUCUCUUGCUUCACUUAUAUCUAUUUAGAGAGAUGACAGGAAUUGGUCAUUAACAUGGUUAGUCAUAAAAUCCUACAUAAACUUGUAGAUCGCUGAAUAUGAUAUGUUUGAUUCCUUGCAAUAGUUUUGCAAUAUAAAGAUGGUGAUAUUAGAGUUAUGCUAGUGGGUGGUAGUGGAUUGUAGAGACACUUGUGUUGAGGUUUGUGAUUCCCGUAGCAUGCACGUAUGGUGAACCGCUUUGUGACGAAGUUGGAGCACAUUUUUAUUUAUUGAUUGUCUUCCUUAUGAGUGGCGGUCGGGGACGAGCGAUGGUCUUUUCCUACCAAUAUAUACCCCUAGGAGCAUGCGCGUAGUACUUUGUUUUCAAUGACUUGUAGAUUUUUGCAAUAAGUAUAUGAGUUCUUUAUGACUAAUGUUGAGUCCAUGGAUUAUACGCACUCUCACCCUUCCACCAUUGCUAGCCUCUCUUGUGCCGCGCAACUUUUGCCGGUAUCAUACACCCAUCAUAUGCCUUCCUCAAAACAGCCACCAUACCUACCUAUCAUGGCAUUUCGAGAUAUAUUUCCAUGCAACCUCCAUCAUCAUCAUAUACAUGACUUGAGCAUUCAUUGUCAUAUUGCUUUGUGUGAUCGUAAGAUAGCUAGCAUGAUGUUUUCAUGGCUUGUCCAUUUUUUGAUGUCAUUGCUACGCUAGAUCAUUGCACAUCCCGGUACACCGCCGGAGGCAUUCAUAUAGAGUCAUAUCUUUGUUCUAGAUAUUGAGUUGUAAGUAAAUGAAAGUGUGACGAUCAUCAUUAUUAGAGCAUUGCCCCAGUGAGGAAAGGAUGAUGGAGACUAUGAUUCCCCCACAAGUCGGGAUGAGACUCCGGACUUUACGAAAAAUAAAAGAGGCCAAAGAAGCCCAAAUAAAAAAAGGGAGGCCAAAGAAGCCCACCAAAAAAAUGAGAUAAAAAGAGAGAAGGGCAAUGUUACUAUCCUUUUACCACACUUGUGCUUCAGAGUAGUACCGUGUUCUUCAUAGAGAAAGCCUCCUAUGCUUUCACUUUCAUAUAC